GAAACACCCUUAUGGAGCAGGACUUGCUUCAGUGGGGCUUUGGUGCUCACUGAGUCUUCUCCCUGAGUGUGUCUCU
rfam:Myotis lucifugus cont2.17085, whole genome shotgun sequence.